rnacentral:lncRNA from 1 species
UAGGAGCUUAGGCACAGUGAUGAGGCAGGAGAAAGUCACUUCCUUUUCCCUGGUCCCUGGGCAAAACUUUAUUCCCCCUUCUUCAUCUUGCCUUGCCUACUUUCCCUCCCCACUCUCUGCUCUGCGAACUAGGCUCUUGGGGAGAUUGAGGUGCUGCGAGGGCUGCCCAGGAGGGGCCCCAUCUGAAGGUAAAGCCCCACCAGGCCUUUAUCCGUGGUCUUUGAUCCUGUCUUCUCUCUCACUCUUGCUCUCACUCCCACUCACUCUGCACCUCAUGGUGGAUCCAUUUUUCUUCUGAUCUCCUGUCAGCUUUAUUCUGUCUGCUCACCCACUUUUCUGCCCAUAUUCUCAACCACUUUCUCAAAGGCAGCUGUCCCGCUGGUCCCAGCUCUUUGCUCCUAGAGCCCAGAACUCGGGUGAGUGGAACCACCCUGGUGUCCGUUAAGUCCCCAGCCUUGAGGAAGGUCCUGCCAUUUUCCCUCAACUCCCCUGGCUAAUCUUCCUGUUCAGAGGAGUUUUCUGGGCGGGAAGGAGAGCUGGGCUGUUCCUGUGGCCUCUCCCACAGCUUUCCUGCUGCGGCCUUUGUCUUUGCCUGGAUGCUUCCUGGGGCAGCACGAGCCCUCCUCUGGCCCCGUCCUCCAGUCUGGCCUUGGGGACAUGGCGGUGGCAAUGGCACAGCAUGACUGAGCUUGUUUUGUUGGUGCUCUCAGGUUUUGGUUCCGUCCGGGGCCUUCUGUUUUGGGCAGUGCUCUGCAAACAUCUGGUGACCCUGCUGGACAACUCCCUGAUCGUCGUCCUCGCCCUGGCAGCCUCUGCCUGCGCUGGCCCACGCACUUCCUCCUGCACCACUUCUCCUUAGGGGAGGUCCCACGCCACAGCGGCGGAGUCUCGGAUGCAGGCCGAUUCCCUUCCCCCGCCGCACUAGCCCACCGGUAGGCGGCUUCCCGCUGCUGGGUUUCUUCGCCCUCCCUGGCAUCGCCGAAUGCGCUUGCGCAGGGCCAUGGCCUCCGCCGCUGUGACGCCAUCUGCCGGCCGCUGCAUUCUACUACCUGAGGAGCCCUAGUCUUCCGAGCCCGCUUCGCCUUCACCUUGCCCUUCUGCGGCGCAGCACCACCCGCUACUUCCGGCUGGAUUCUCGGCCUGUGCUGAGACCUUUAAAAUAACACUGAUUUUCUUAACUUUUGCAAACUAUGCAUCUGACAAAGGUCUAAUAUCCAACAUAUAUAAAGAACUUCGGGAGGCUGAGGCAGGAGAAUGGUGAGAACCCGGGAGGCGGAGCUUGCAGUGAGCCGAGAUUGCACCACUGCACUCCAGCCUGGGCAACAGAGUGAGACUCCAUCUCAAAAAAAAAAAGAACUUAAAUUUAUAAGAAAAAAAACCAAACAAUCCUACUAAAAAGUGGGCAAAAGACAUGAAUAGACACUUUUCAAAAGAAGACAUACAUGCAGUCAACAAGCUUAUGAAAAAAAGCUCAACAUCGCUGAUCAUUAGGGAAACGCAAAUCAAAACCAUAAUGAGAUACCACCUCACACCAGUCAGAAUGGCUAUUACUAAAAAGCAAAAAACAAAAACAAAACAGAUGCUAAUGAGGUUGUGGAGAAAAAGGAACACUUGUAUACUGCUGAUGGGAGUGUAAAUUAGUUCAACCAUUGUGGAAGACAGUGUGGCAAGGAAGAGAAGAAUGGGGAAGCAGCUAAACAAGCUCUGGCUUCGAGAUAAGCAAUAGCAAAACAGUUGUAGCUCCUCCACCACCAGACACUUACUGGCUGACUCCCCUGUUCCACAAGC